GACGAACGCUGGCGGCGUGCUUAACACAUGCAAGUCGAACGGAAAGGCCCUGCUUUUGUGGGGUGCUCGAGUGGCGAACGGGUGAGUAACACGUGAGUAACCUGCCCUUGACUUUGGGAUAACUUCAGGAAACUGGGGCUAAUACCGGAUAGGAGCUCCUGCUGCAUGGUGGGGGUUGGAAAGUUUCGGCGGUUGGGGAUGGACUCGCGGCUUAUCAGCUUGUUGGUGGGGUAGUGGCUUACCAAGGCUUUGACGGGUAGCCGGCCUGAGAGGGUGACCGGCCACAUUGGGACUGAGAUACGGCCCAGACUCGUACGGGAGGCAGCAGUGGGGAAUAUUGCACAAUGGGCGGAAGCCUGAUGCAGCAACGCCGCGUGCGGGAUGACGGCCUUCGGGUUGUAAACCGCUGUCGCCUGUGACGAAGCGUGAGUGACGGUAAUGGGUAAAGAAGCACCGGCUAACUACGUG
rnacentral:rRNA from 1 species